ACAAUAGCUAAAGCUGAUUCCUCUCCCCUUGAAUGUAGGCUACAAGUAGUGACUCCCUUAAUAAUAGAAUAUAGAAUAAUAGAAUGUGACAGAGGUUCUGCUAUGUGACUUCUGAGGCUAGGGUGAAUAGCUUCUGAGUGUCAAUAUAGCUAGUGGUUAAAAGGAUAGCUCUGCUUUGUUCUCCUCUUGGAUCACUUAUUCUAACGGAAGGAAGUCACUAUGUUUUGAAGACAUUCAGUGGGCCCUAGAGAGAGCCCACCUAGAGAGGGCCCACUAUGUCCCUCUUCCCAUCCCAUUUCUCCCUAUUGGCAGCCUUCAAGUCUGACAGCUAAGGCUCCAGACACUGUGAAGCAGAAAUAAGCCUCCACAGCAUAUCUGUCUAAAUUCCUGAUCCACAGAAACCAUGAGAUAAUAAAUGGCUGCUGGUGCUUUUAAAGUACAACUUUUUGGGGUGAUUGAUUUCACACUAGUAUGUUAAUGCACUUUCCCAAGUCCCUCUAGUCGUUCAAACAUCUAAGAGUUCUCUUUGUUUCUCUUGUUUGGAUCUACUAAGCAUUACCCACUCCAGCUCCUUUAUUUUUGUUUUUUUCUAUAUAUACCCAGAAGUGAAAUUGCUGGAUUGUAUGUUAAAGAUCCAUUUGUAUCUCAUCACCCCUCUUGGAAGGAAUCUUUCUGCUCACCAUACUCAACUGUCUAGAUUCACACAGCUGGUGGCGUGAGCCGAACUCCUUAGGAAGAGUCUGGGAGGAGGAGCCUCAGCGCCAGGGCACCCAGGUGUUUCUCAUCCCAGGCCUCCCAGGCCAGCCGGCUCCCAAAAUCCCUCGAGAUCAGGCUUCCACCCGGAAAUGUGCCUGCAGCUGCUUGCAGUGCCUCGGACCGUUGCAGUUACUUGGCUGUCUCAAAGUUUUCAACACCUAGGAAAAAAACAGUUUCUCUUUCUGGCUUUUAUUCUCGAUAUUCUUUAGCUAAAUUUGUUUCACAAAUUAAAAAGAAGAAGGAGAAGAAGAAGAAGAAGAAAAAAUGAAGCAGUUUCUUGUUCCUGCUUCUAAGGACACUAGAAAUCCAACAUAGAAACCAGGGGACAUUGAUGACUGGAUCUAUGUAAUAAUGGACAAUUUUGUACGGCCCUAAAGCAUACUAAUCUCACUGCAAGGAAUCAUACGUCCUUGACGAAUGUCACCCGUCCAGUCUGUUGGGAAACCAGUGACAGUGUGAGCAAGGAUAAGACACAAGGGCUCUGAAGACCCACAUUCCCGAUUUUACAGAUGUGGAAACUGAGAUCCAGGAUUAGCUAAGUGGUUGCUUAAAACAAAACUGUUGGAGAUAGAAAUGGAGCAAGGACCUAGGUUUUGACAUCAAUUCCAUGUAAUUCUUGGUCAGGAAAAUGAGUGUUAAAGAAGUUAAAUUACUUGCUCACCCACACAGGACCAAGAUUCAAGCAGGGAUCCUGACUCUAGUCACAUGAAAAGUGUCAGCUUGCAUGGUCAUCAAUUCCCAGAGAGCUUAUGAAAGGACAUGAACCCUUGCAGCUCUGAGUUCUCAUGUAAGAGCCCAGCUAGCCAUGCUUCCAUGCUCGAGACUCUGAGGGAAACUACAAUGAAACAGAGCAAGAUGCCCAAGAAGCCCCAGUUAUGAGGGUGUAGAGGAAGUUCUUCAUAACAUUUUCAUAAACAUUUUCAUUUACCCUACCCACUUCAUCCUUCCUGACCUUUUGUAAGUGGUAAGUGAUGCUUCUGAUUCUUUACGCCUUUCCAGAAUGCUAUGGAGAAAGCAGUAAUCUUGUUCUCACGGUAUCUCUCUGCAAACUCUUAGAUUUGAAAUUUUUCAUUCUGUUACAUCAGGUGCUACUCCACUCCCAUUUCCAUGUUCCUACGUUUGACCUUAGAGUUAGAGAAAUUAUCUAGACUAUGUGUUUAGAGUAUGUAUUUCUGUCUCUUAUUCUCCUUAUUGCUUGUGGUUUUCAUAAGGAAAGGGAAUUGAAACCUGAAGUUGAGCAUUCUUUCUUAGAAACACCUGAAAUUAGGUGUUAGGUGAAACAGGAGUGAGGGGAAUGGCAUUCCAGGAAAAAGGCAAUAACACAGUUUCUAGCUACUGUCAGGUGUAAUUGUGGUAGCAGAAUAUUGUCAUACCUAUCUUAUAUUUAUUUUUUAAAUUUAUUUACGUUUUUAUUUUAAUUCCAGUUUAUUAACAUAUAGUGUUAUAUUAAUUUCAAGUGUACAAUAUAGUGAUUCAACAGUU